rnacentral:lncRNA from 1 species
UGGAACCACACAUCUCUUUCUUCCUCUUACCUUCUUCUCCCUCUAUCCUCUGCUCACUCUGGCCGAUAGCAGCAGCCAUACGCUGCCACCAUCUCCGCCCUCUGCCCCUGAUUCGACUACUCAGCCAACAACACACACACUACACCAAGGAAUCCCCCCUUUUCCUGACUCGGUACAGCAGCAGCGCCCCUACCAAUUGUAUUAGUAAAAAAAAUGCAAAUAAAAAAGAAGUUGUUAGUGCAAGAAGAAUCCAUGUAGAUGCUAUCUUUAACAUCAAAUCUACUACCCAAUAAAUUUCACCAAUCAUUUGCACACAUAUCAAAAUUCAAUUGUAGACUUUCAACGGAUUCACAAGCUGUAGUAUGAAAAUG